UCGAUUGUAAGCUGCCAACUAGCCCUAGCAUUUUAAUUGAUUGGCAGUAAGCGAUUUAGUUUGCAUGCACUUAUAGCGAGUGUUGACUGUGGCAAAAACAGAUCUUUCUACGUAUAUUGCGUACGUAGUAUCUCUAUCUCUAGAGCGUGCCAGAACGCAAAAACAACGAGUCAUUCUGAGUGGGAUGGGUUGUGUUGGGAGGUGCUGCUUGCUUCGCUAAUCAAAAAUGUUGGCAAAAUAUACAUAUGUAUGUAUGUACAUAUACACACUCAAAGUCCGAUAAUAUUUAGAUUUGCUAAUUACCCAGACGGCAGACGCAAAUGAAUAACAACAAAAUUUAGUCACUUCUGAUUGACGUGCUUGUGCGAAACGUAGCCUAAAACAAAUACUAAAUGGCUGGAUCGUAGGUAAAACUGGAAGCAAGCAGUGCACUCUGCCUUGCUUUCGUGCAAAUUAGGCCGUGCACUGCUUUACAUGCCUGAUCAACUUGACAUUCAUUAACCACCCCAAUCAACAAAAACUUCACUGGGGCUUGUCACGUAAAGUAUUACUAAUACCACGCAUUGUCCCACAGUCCGGUAAAUUACUGGUAUGAAUCUUGAAACGCCUUUUGCUGCUGAUAAGCAACGUAUCGCGUCUAUUCAAUUCGUCAUUCAACAAACACUCGAAUUAGAUCCAAAAAAAAUAUCUCUGUAUUUAUUGCUAGUGGGUUACCAAGUUAUUAAACCAAAUCUCAAGUACAUUCUUAGUAAUAUAUGUAUAUGUAGUUCAUUUUAAAUUAAACGACAGCGAGAUUAAAUAAAAUUGUAGAUUUA